UACGGGGGUGCGAGCGUUGUCCGGAAUCACUGGGCGUAAAGGGCGCGUAGGUGGUUUGAUAAGGGUGUGGUGAAAGUCCGGGGCUCAACCCCGGAUCUGCCGUGCCGACUGUCAAACUCGAGGACUGUAGAGGCAGACGGAAUUCCGGGUGUAGCGGUGGAAUGCGUAGAGAUCCGGAGGAAGACCGGUGGCGAAGGCGGUCUGCUGGGCAGUUCUGACACUGAGGCGCGACAGCGUGGGAGC
rnacentral:rRNA from 1 species